UCAGAAAGAUUGUACAGUAGUGCACCAGAUAAAGAGAGGGUCAGAAAGAUGGUAAAGUACAAAAGAGGAGUGCACCAGCUAAUUAAGUUGUUGUUGUUAUUGUUAUUGUUAUUGUUAAUAUUAUUAUUAGUUACUCGUACACAAUGAGAGAGUCAGAAAGAUUUUACAGUAUGAAAGAGAAGUGCAGCAGUUACUAGUAAACAAAGAGAGGGUCAGAAAGAUAGCACAGUAGAAAAGAGGAGUG